GCUUCACUCACGUUGCUGUGGGACAGAAUGCGUUCAGUCACAUCAUAUCUCACUGCGUAACCGAAGACAUUAAAAUAAACCAUCAAUUCAUCUUCCUUAAGAAAUAUAAGAUGACAUCAUGGCUAUUAUUUAUUUAUUGAAAUAGGCUGCUACUCCUGUGUGAUGCAAAGCCGAAGUAUAAAACUAAAUUAGAACAAAACGCAUACAUCCGAAUUUCCAAGCACGGUGCUUUGGAUUUUUCUUAUAUUCUAAAGGUGCUUAAUGCUAGAAUUAUGGUGACAAAUUACUGUCUGCUUAGUCAUGGACGCUUCUAUAAGUCCUCACUUUCGUUAACAGGCAAUGUAUACCUCUAGCUUACAGUAAAUCCAUUUGGGGAACAAUUAUAUCUCUGCCACACUAGUACCCAAAAGAACUUACAGAUUACGUGUGAAUUACUAACAGUCUCUCAAGAGAUUCAAGUAACUUACUGAAAAUACUUAACAGUAACACAUGAGGUAUAUUUAUUUCUUCCUUUGAAACCUCAUUCCCUACAGUAAAUACAUUUAGGCGUAUUAUUAAGUGGCCCAAAACCAGAACUGUUUAUUCUGCCAACUAAUCCUAUGGAUUUGACUGUAAUGGGAUUCAGCUCUGUACGGUCCACGGUUAGCUUCUAUUCUGCGCAAAAUAAAAUCCACUGUUGCCAAAGCUAAUCAAAAUAUAAUCUAUCAUAGUUUCAAUUCUGUCUCAAUUUGUGAAAAGUAAAUAUUAAAAUGGAAAAAUGCCUAUGCCUUUGUUAAAGCAGGCCAGGUGGACCUAUGUUGCAUGUAAUUUUAUGUAAAUGAAAUUGUGGUCCAUUUAAUUUUUCUUUGCAACACUCAUUACGGCGAACAAUGCCUUGAGCAUUUUGAGAUAUACACCCAUGGGAUACCUGUUUAUGAGUUCUUGUACACAAAAGAAGCGGACUUUGUGAAUGUGAUACUUUCUACUCGCUGAAGUGCAUGAGUGAGAGGGUAGAAAAGACUCCAGGGUCAGACAUUCAGCUGACCAGACACAGUUAUUGGCUGCCCAUUGGAACGCCCUUUGGCAUCCCUCCUGGCCUCCAGCUGCUGCUCCAGAGGUUGACAAAUCUCCGCUGGCCAUGUGUUUUUGAAAACUCUGCUGUUCAGAUUCGCUGGUAUCAAGAAGAUGUAAAGGACUGA
rnacentral:lncRNA from 1 species